ensembl:miRNA
UAUAAGGUUGGUGCAAAAGUGAUUGUGGUUUUGCCAUUGCUUUCAAUGGCAAAAAUUGCCAUUACUUCUGCACCAAACUAAUAAAU